rnacentral:lncRNA from 1 species
ACAAGACCUUUUUACCUCAAUGAUUACAUAUGAUGAGGCUGGUAUGAAGGGAAGCUGACGUGGUUGUGCAAAGGAGAAUCCACAAUUGCAGAAUUGUUGGUUGAUGGUACUACAAAGGACAACAUGAUCACAAUAGAAUUAGCCAAUGAUUUGGAAAAUAUUUCCUGAGCAUAAGAAGACAAAUUUUGUUAGUAGGGAAGUUAG